AGGAGGUGCUCCGGCUGCAGGGCGCAACCACCACAAGCCGGGCGAGGAGGAGGUGGCGCGCCGGCGCCGCCAAGGCAGCGGGUGCGCGCGCGGCCAGGCCAGACCACCAACCCACACAGCACCUCGGAGGGAGUGAACUAUCUAUCGAGUGACGCUCAUAUAGUUUUACUGUCAAUUUGGCCGACAAUUAACCUUAUAGAAUAUAAAACCAAGGGGAGCAGUUAGCUUCUUAGCACUAAUCUGAUUAGUUUCCCGUGUUUUCGUCCUUUUAGUUGCCCAUACUGUUCUUGUUCUUCUCUACUCAUGUGCAGUUCUAUUUAGCUCCAUGGACCUCUCUUCCUCUAUAAACUGAAUGCUGGAUGAUUUAUUCUAAUUAAUUAACCAUCUGGUCCUUGUCGCAGUUUUGCCGGGAGAGGAUAGCCGAGAGGAUAAAGGCCCUGCAAGAACUGGUGCCCAAGUUGAGCAAAGAUAUCAGCUGGAGAACGAGGCACAGAUUGUGCUUGUAGCUAAGCUAGCUUAAUUGGAUUCUUCGAGAUCCAAGUGGUCGAAGACGAUAGCUACAUCACUAAGGGUUUUGGUUGGGAAGCUGCUGCUUUAUUAUUGCAUCAGUCAAUGCUGACCAGGAAUUAAAAUAAGGGCUUCAACAGAUGCCGAUGCAACAAAAAGGAUGGAGCCAUCAGAUGUCAAUGAAAAUGCUUAGUGGAAACAAUGGACUUCUCAGUUUUAACAUGUGCCAUUUAAAAGAUGUUGUAGCUUUCGGGCAUAUCAAACCUUGGAGCUGGAACAUUGGCUUAUCCCAAGAAGAAGCCAGUUUGAUUGUAUAGUACUUGUUGUUUCUCAAGAUUUCAAAGGCACAAUGUAGAGAUAAUUAUUUUCAAGAAAGUUGUUUUCGGGAAACAACUAACUCCAUAUGUUUGACCCAUAUCAUUGUUCAACAUAAUUGUG